GACGAGGGAUCCUAGCGUUGUUCGGAAUCAUUGGGCGUAAAGCGGGUGUAGGUGGCUUAAUAAGUCAGGUGUGAAAGCCCAGGGCUCAACCCUGGAAGUGCAUCUGAUACUGUUAAGCUUGAGUGUGGGAGAGGCUACUGGAAUGCUUGGUGUAGUGGUGAAAUACGUAGAUAUCAAGCGGAACACCGGAGGCGAAGGCGGGUAGCUGGCCCAACACUGACACUCAGACCCGAAAGCGUGGGGAUCAAACAGG
rnacentral:rRNA from 1 species